ACGAAAAACGACAGAUCAGAAACUUUAGAUUUCUUUGAUCUUAUGACUGUUUUAUGGAGUAUAUUUGUUGUUUAGACAAAGUUCGCUUUUUUUCUCAAUUGUGAUUGCCUAUCCUGUGCUACCUGGUGCUACCCAUGAGUGUCCCUUUACCCUCCCUCCUAACGUAUUUGAAAACAGUCGAUGUCGUGCCCAAAUUAAAUUGGUGCAAGAAAUUAUGCAUGUAUGAAAGAAAUGAGAUGAUACAUGCACGCACACCACCAAUCCAACAGCAACACUGGAAUCUCUGGAUCACGACCGAGGCGCAGAUGCUGAUUCAUCGCAUCAGAGGAGACACCUCAAAUGUUACUUGUCGCACAAGUUCUCCAUUACGGGUUUUGGCGAGUUAAGCAACCACACCAUCAUUGACACUAGAAUCCAACUUACAACUUCACUGACGUCGUAACCGGAUUCUUUGCCAUUUGUAAUCGGAAUGAUCAGGACAGGUGGAAGCUGUCAACAAGGCUUUAAAAUCCGGUGAAUUUUCAGCGAUAAUCAUCGGGAUUCAUUUAUUAUCCAUUUCAGGCCUACCGAUAUCAUCGUCCACUGCCAGGAAAAGCAUUUCAAUCAAGAACAACGGUUAAAAUCCUUGUGAAAUGUCCUCUUUCUAUGAGACCGAAACCGGAAAGCUGAUGACCCUACAACAGUCCCACUUCUUUCUCUGGUAUCCUUAGGUGAAGUUACGUCGCAUAGUAUAGCCCGUGGUAUAGCUGACUGGUCUACGAAUGUAGGCCAUGCCAAAUUUCAAGAGGAUCACAGAUCUCUGGUCAAGUUAUAUGACAGCUCGACAGUUCAGGACCCUCUGCUCACUUCCGGUGUAGUUUCGGCGCAAAAUAUUAAGAAAUGGUUGAGGUUUUGACACUAGAUGGUUUUGUAUAUUGGCGAACAAAUGAAUGUCAAAAGUUAUGUAGAGUAAAAUGUAAUAAGAGAUGUAUGGUGCAAAACUUCGUCUGUUGAUCGCCCUUAUUAAGUCAUCGUUUGUCUGAUGCCUUUGUCAAUAAUAGUGAAGUUGGAGCGGCAGCAGCAGCAGAUCCUCAAUAGUGGUCUCCAGUUCAACAGCAGCUGUCGAUAAUGGUCCUGGGUUUACGAACUUACUCGCCCGUUUAGUGCGUCGAUUCGCCAAUUAUUUGUUUGGCCUUUUGUAUAGCAUCGAACUCCAACAUCACUGCAAUAAAAUUAGGGCGCUCUUUUGUUGCCGGAGUGACGGAACGGAGUGUCCAAAUAUAUCAUAUGGGGAAAUUGAGUCUGUAUCAAUAGUUCGCCCCCAGUCACUCCAGUUGAACAGAUUGCGUCGCAGCCGGGAACUUCUUUUGGUUAUUCCAUGGAAAUUGAGGUACAAGCACCUGGUAGAGAAAUUUCGUACUACUUUAUGGAAUCCCAUUUCUGCUGUCGUCUGCUUCCUUCAUUCAGUCCUUCACUCUUGGCUUUCACGGUUGAUGUUGAUUGUUGAUAGUGGGAGAUGUUCGUUGUGGGACUAGAGUAAAUGUUCCAUUAUGGUAGUCUUGGGCUGGUCUUGGGGACACAAUCAAUAGGGAUAGCUGGUGCUAUCCCAAGUGAAACUACAGGAAAACUUCUUGAAUUGCCAGGUGAAGUCUGCACUUCUUUGUUGCAGUCUAAUGUGCGCAUGGAUUCGUUGCAGUCAUCCAGUGAAAGGUGUGAUUAAAUUGAGCUGUUGCAUGCAGUCUUUGGUGCUGAUGCUGUCCUGGAGUGUGGGAGAGUCCCAUGCUUCAAGUCUUCUGGGAUCAGCCAUAUCUGAGUUGACGCUGGAUCA
rnacentral:lncRNA from 1 species